AAGAUAAUGAAACACUAGAGGAGUGGUGGGGCCGUGGUGGUGUGAAUAGAAACCCCACAGGCCCCACCAUCCCCCUCAAUAGUACCUCCUAUUUUCUUUUUCGUUCACUCUUUCUUCUUCUAUUAUUACUGUAUAGUUUCUCUCUCUUUCAUUUCUCUCAAUUCAUCGAACAACAGUCUCAUCAUCACUUCAAACUCUUACACAUUCAGUGUCGCAUCAUCAUCUAUCUAACUUUGGAAUCCUUCAACUUGUUCUUUCUCCGUAAAUCCGAAGUAAUUGAGCUUCAUCGAUUAUUUCACUAUAUCGUUUUCUCGAAGAUUUGCUUGAAAUUGUAGAACCAAACUAUAUCAAGAGAGGGAAAUUACAAUUGCCUUGAAAUCACUUUUUGCCUUGCUGACAUACAAAUAUAACGUCAGACUUUUUGCCGUUUCAGCGGAGUAUGAACACACGACAGCUCACGUUUGAUUCCUAUCUUCAGGAGCAUGAAAUCAAACACCCUUGACACGUAUUCUCCGUCGGAGUUCAGACCUCAACCUCUUGAU